rnacentral:pre_miRNA from 12 species
CUCCAUAGACCUCUUAGAGCUGAAUGUGUAUGGGUCAAGCUACAAAUUCGGUUCUAGAGAGGUUUGUGUG